rnacentral:rRNA from 1 species
AGGCGAGAAAAACUUUGCAAUGUGCGAAAAGCACGACAAGGUUAAUCCGAGUGGUUUCUGCUAAAGGAACCUUUUGCCAGUCCUAGAAACACUGGUGAAUAAGGGGUCGGGUCAAGUUUCUGGUGUCAGCCGCCGCGGUAAAACCAGCACCUCAAGUGGUCACGGAUGAUUAUUGGGCCUAAAGCAUCCGUAGCCUGCUUUGUUAGUUUUCGGUUAAAUCUAUUCGCUCAACG